GUAAGACAUCUGUGUCUGUAUGUUCGACAUGUGGGUGAUGCCUUUUCCAUAGAUGGUGAACCAUCACUCACAUGUCGAACAUACAGACACAGAUGUCUUAC
rfam:Alligator mississippiensis ScZkoYb_26, whole genome shotgun sequence.